UGAGGAACAUGACCUUCGGCGGGGGAUAGCCGGCCCAACGGCCGGGUAAUACCGCGUACGACCACAUGGGGACAUCCCCGAGUGGUGAAAGCAGCAAUGCGCCGAUGGAGUGCCUCGCGGCCUAUCAGCUAGUUGGUGAGGUAACGGCUCACCAAGGCGACGACGGGUANCUGGUCUGAGAGGAUGGCCAGCCACAGUUGGGACUGAGACACGGCCCAGACCUCCCGUAGGGACGG
rnacentral:rRNA from 1 species